AGUUUGAUCCUGGCUCAGAUUGAACGCUGGCGGAAUGCUUUGCACAUGCAAGUCGAACGGCAGCACGGGGCAACCUGGUGGCGAGUGGCGAACGGGUGAGUAAUACAUCGGAACGUGCCCAAUCGUGGGGGAUAACGUAGCGAAAGUUACGCUAAUACCGCAUACGAUCUACGGAUGAAAGCGGGGGAUCGCAAGACCUCGCGCGAGUGGAGCGGCCGAUGUCAGAUUAGGUAGUUGGUGGGGUAAAGGCUCACCAAGCCAACGAUCUGUAGCUGGUCUGAGAGGACGACCAGCCACACUGGAACUGAGACGCGGUCCAGACUCCUACGGGAGGCAGCAGUGGGGAAUUUUGGACAAUGGGCGCAAGCCUGAUCCAGCCAUUCCGCGUGCAGGAUGAAGGCCUUCGGGUUGUAAACUGCUUUUGUACGGAACGAAACGGCGAGCUCUAAUACAGUUUGCUAAUGACGGUACCGUAAGAAUAAGCACCGGCUAACUACGUG
rnacentral:rRNA from 1 species